rnacentral:rRNA from 1 species
CAGGAUGAACGCUGGCGGCGUGCCUAACACAUGCAAGUCGAACGAGAAGCUAAUCUCUGAUUCCUUCGGGAUGAUGAGGUUAGCAGAAAGUGGCGAACGGGUGAGUAACGCGUGGGUAAUCUACCCUGUAAGUGGGGGAUAACCCUCCGAAAGGAGGGCUAAUACCGCAUAAUAUCUUCACUUCUUAAGAAGAGAAGAUUAAAGAUGGCCUCUAUACUAUGCUAUCGCUUCAGGAUGAGCCUGCGUCCUAUUAGUUAGUUGGUGGGGUAAUGGCCUACCAAGACCACAAUGGGUAGCCGGUCUGAGAGGAUGUACGGCCACACUGGGACUGAGAUACGGCCCAGACUCCUACGGGAGGCAGCAGUGGGGAAUAUUGCGCAAUGGGGGAAACCCUGACGCAGCGACGCCGCGUGGAUGAUGAAGGCCUUUGGGUUGUAAAAUCCUGUUCUGGGGGAAGAAACCUUAAGGGUCCAAUAAGCCCUUAAGCUGACGGUACCCCAAGAGAAAGCUCCGGCUAAUUAUGUGCCAGCAGCCGCGGUAAUACAUAAGGAGCAAGCGUUAUCCGGAAUUAUUGGGCGUAAAGAGCUCGUAGGCGGUCUUAAAAGUCAGGUGUGAAAUUAUCAGGCUCAACCUGAUAAGGUCAUCUGAAACUUUAAGACUUGAGGAUAGAAGAGGAAAGUGGAAUUCCCGGUGUAACGGUGAAAUGCGUAGAUAUCGGGAGGAACACCAGUGGCGAAGGCGGCUUUCUGGUCUAUCUCUGACGCUGAGGAGCGAAAGCUAUGGGAGCAAACGGGAUUAGAUACCCCGGUAGUCCUAGCUGUAAACGAUGGAUACUAGGUGUGGGAGGUAUCGACCCCUUCUGUGCCGCAGCUAACGCAUUAAGUAUCCCGCCUGGGGAGUACGGUCGCNAGGCUGAANCUCAAAGGAAUUGACGGGGGCCCGCACAAGCGGUGGAGCAUGUGGUUUAAUUCGACGCAACGCGAAGAACCUUACCGGGACUUGACAUUAUCUUGCCCGUCUAAGAAAUUAGAUCUUCUUCCUUUCGGGGAAGACGAGAUAACANGUGGUGCAUGGUUGUCGUCAGCUCGUGUCGUGAGAUGUUGGGUUAAGUCCCACAACGAGCGCAACCCUUAUGCCUANNUUGCUUAACUUGUUUUACAAGUGCACUCUAGGCAGACUGCCGCGAUAAUGCGGAGGAAGGUGGGGAUGACGUCAAAUCAUCAUGCCCCUUACGUCCCGGGCUACACACGUGCUACAAUGGUCUGUACAAAGGGUAGCGAAGAGCGAUCUUAAGCCAAUCCCAAAAGCAGGCCUCAGUUCGGAUAGGAGGCUGUACUCGCCUCCAUGAGUAGGAUCGCUAGUAUCGCGAUCA